AUUGAACGCUGGCGGCAGGCCUAACACAUGCAAGUCGAACGAGUGGCGGACGGGUGAGUAAUGUCUGGGAAACUGCCUGAUGGAGGGGGAUAACUAAUUGAAACGGUAGCUAAUACCGCAUACCAUCGGAUGUGCCACGAUGGGCUUAGCUAGUAGGUGGGGUAAAAGCUCACCAAGACGACGAUCCCUAGCUGGUCUGAGAGGAUGACCAGCCACACUGGAACUGAGACACGUUCCAGACUCCUAAGGGAGGCAGCAGUGGGGAAUAUUGCACAAUGGGGGCAAGCCGGAUGCAGCCAUGCCGCGUGUAUGAAGAAGGCCUUCGGGUUUUAAAGUACUUUCAGCGGGAAGGCGUUACCCGCAGAAGAAGCACCGGCUAACGCCGUGCCAGCAGCCGCGGUAAUAC
rnacentral:rRNA from 1 species